GGAUUUGCUCCAUCGAGUGCACGUGGCAUUUUUCAGUCCCGAAGAUAAAACUAUGAGCAGGCAUCGUGACCACCCAAGGGCUGAUCCUGGAGUCAACGUGGGACCCUCUGAGGAAACACAGCCUCCUGUUCAGUGUGUCAACAACCCGCUGGGUAAUGUUGGAGUGGUGGUCUACGUCCUGUGCACAUGUCCCAUGAACCAGACACCUCUUCAUGGAGAGAGG